UUUAUCUUGGAAAAUAAACGCAUUUUAGCCAUAAACAAGAAAGUAUUAAAAGAGAUCUAUUUUGAUGUAUUUACACUUUAAUUCUUGUAACAUUUAAGCAAGAUGUCCCACAGCAAGUCCUAGAACAAUUAAAUUCUAUUAAGAAGAAAAUUGAAUAAUCUUAAAAGGAAUGAGAUCCAUGCAACACAUUAGGAUGCUUUCCAAGAUUGGCUUCUUAUUACAUCUGUGGGGAAAGCCAAUUGCAGGACAGGCAUCAAAUCCUGUAUGAUUCUAAAUGCUUAUAUUAUUCAGUUAUUCUAUUCUCUUCAAUAACAACCAAUCUUGUAACUGGUGCUUCUAAUUCCCUUCACACUUGUGAAGCUAAUAUAAAUAGCAAAUGUCUCUAAGCAGAUGAUACUUGAGACAAGAAAUUGAGUUAAAGAUACUUCUUUUACUAUCUGUCCCAAGGAGUGUGAAGAACAAUGGCAUCAAUGAAGGCUGAAAAACCAAUUGGGACUCAACUGUUUGGGCAGGUGAAGAAGGAGCCCACCAAGAUUAGCGAAGGUGGAUCCAAGGCAACAACAUCAAAGCCAGCCACCAAAAAGACCGCCCCAAAGACAAAUCAGGAACCUAAAAAGAAGGCAAGGGGUGGAAAAUCAGCAGCAAAACACUAACAUAACACUGAGGAAAAGUGGCAUUUCACAUAGAAGAAGCUAUGUUAUGACCUCCAUAUAUACCUUAUAACUCCUUGUUACCCUUUUGAUGUUUUCAUAAGCCCCUCUCGCCAAGGGACUGACAUCUCUAGAUGUAAUUUAGUUUGCUUGGUUUGGCCUAAGAAAUAAAAUACAUAUUUCAGAACAA